rnacentral:rRNA from 1 species
GACGAACGCUGGCGGCGUGCUUAACACAUGCAAGUCGAACGGAAAGGCCCUGCCUUUGUGGGGUGCUCGAGUGGCGAACGGGUGUGUAACACGUGAGUAACCUGACCUUGACUGUGGGAUAACUUCAGGAAACUGGGGCUAAUACCGGAUAGGAGCUCCUGCUGCAUGGUGGGGGUAGGAAAGUUUCGGCGGUUGGGGAUGGACUCGCGGCUUAUCAGCUUGUUGGGGGGGUAGUGCCUUACCAAGGCUUUGACGGGUAGCCGGCCUGAGAGGGUGACCGGCCACGUUGGGACUGAGAUGCGGCCCAGACUCCUACGGGAGGGAACAGUGGGGAGUAGUGCACAAUGGGCGGAAGCCUGAUGCAGCAACGCCGCGUGCGGGAUGACGGCCUUCGGGUUGUAAACCGCUUUCGCCUGUGACGAAGCGUGAGUGACGGUAAUGGGUAAAGAAGCACCGGCUAACUACGUG